rnacentral:sRNA from 1 species
GGUCACAGUGGAGCUGGCAAAUCUUCACUGCUAAAUAUUCUUAAUGGAUCGUCUGUUCCAACAGAAGGAUCAGUUACCAUCCGUAAUAAAAAUCUCUCUGAAAUGCAAGACUUGGAGGAAAUCAGAAAGAUAACCGGCGUCUGUCCUCAAUUCAAUGUUCAGUUUGACAUACUCACCGUGAAGGAAAACCUCAGCCUGUUUGCUAAAAUAAAAGGGAUUCAUCCAAAGGAAAUGGAACAACAGGUACAACGAAUAUUAUUGGAAUUGGACAUGCAAAACAUUCAAGAUAACCUUGCUAAACAUUUAAGUGAAGGACAGAAAAGAAAGCUGACUUUUGGGAUUGCCAUUUUAGGAGAUCCUCAAGUAAGUGAGAUUAUGCAUGGGGAAGGAAGCAGGUCGAAUGUCUGCAAAAUGUCAAGUUCUUUUACCACUAAAAGUGGUAGAGCUUUCAUUGUAAUGCAUCAAGAGAGAACCUGCUAUGUUUAACUAUAAAUAGAAGUAUAUUGGAGAAAAAUGGCUGGAUGGUUAUUAUUUUAUGGUGUUUAUUGUUUUUCAUGCUAUCUUCUGGAUACAGUUCAUGUGAAAGAGAGACAUAUUUUAUGUAUCUUCAUUCUCUGUAGAUUUUGCUCUUAGAUGAACCAACUACUGGAUUGGAUCCCUUUUCCAGAGAUCAAGUGUGGAGCCUCCUGAGAGAGCGUAGAGCAGAUCAUGUGAUCCUUUUCAGUACCCAGUCCAUGGAUGAGGCUGACAUCCUGGCUGGUAAUUGUUGGUUUUAUCUCAGUGUUACCAUGAUGCAAUUGGGGAAUUUAGAAGCAAGGUCUAUUCCAAGGGUAAGAGCCCUACUCUCAUUACGGUGAUGUUCCUACAUUCUAUAGCAGUCAGGAGGAUGACAGGAGUCUAGUUCCACUGUGGAAUUCCUUUCUGGUUGUACAUUUGCUAGGUAGUGACAACUAAUGAAAAAUUCUGAUUACCUUUUUUUUUAGAUCAGCUAUCAAUUAAUGUAAACAUUCAAAUCUUAUUUUAUAUAUAUUUAAUUGAAAAAUAGACACUCAUUCUUUAGCAUCAGAGUAUACAGUAUACCAUGUAAUUUAUGUGGUUUUUUUUUCAGAAAGUAUUGGAAGGUGCAGAUAGACUGGUGUUCAUGAGCUUAUUUUAUUUUAAAUUUAAUUUAUUUGUAUAAAUUUAAUGAGUACAAGUACCGUUUUGUUACAUGGAUAUAUUAUGUAGUGGUGAAGUCUGGGCUUCUGGUGUAUUCAUCACCAAAUAAUAUAGAUUGUACCCAUUAAAUAAUUUCUCAUUCCCCAUCCCCCUCUGACUCUCUUACCCUUCCGAGUCUUCAGUGUCUAUUACUCCAAACUGUAUGUCCAUGUGUACCCAUUUUUUAGCUCUCACUUAUAAAUGAGAACAUGCAGUAUUUGACUUUCUGUUUCUGUGUUGUUUCACUUAUGAUAAUAGACUCCAGUUCCAUCCAUGUUGCUGCAAAAGACAUGGUUUCAUUCUAUUUUAUGGCUGAAUAAUAUCAUGAGUUCAUUUUAAAUGCAUCGAUUUUAAUGUGUAUUUCAAAUGUUAAAAUGCACACUAGAUCUAGUUAUACCCUGUUGAAUACUUCUCCUUUGCACUUCUGAGCCUUGGCUCCUCGUCUUUCUUUACUAGAGAAGGAAGAAAUGACCCCCAAUAUAUUUUCUCAUUUGAUUUCUUUCAUUCAGAUAGAAAAGUGAUCAUGUCCAAUGGGAGACUGAAGUGUGCAGGUUCUUCUAUCUUUUUGAAAAGAAGGUGGGGUCUUGGAUAUCACCUAAGGUAAAGACUUUGGGAAUAGAUUGGAUUUAUGUGUUUGCAAUACUGGUAUAUGAAAAAGGUGGACAAUUAUGAAACAGAACUGGCCUUAUGCUUCAUUUCUACCAUACUGGAUUGAUCAGUGUUUCCUGAAUACUUUUCCUACUUUCCUUCCUCCUGUGUCUUUACAAUGUUAAUCAUUGGCAACAUUUCAGCAUGAUAAACCAAGCCUGACUUUUCACAGCAAGACUACUUCAUGUGCCAGUUUUCUAGGUAGCUGUUCUGUGCAGCCUAAACCUCUACCUUAUUCCUACCCACAUUUUCCUCAGCUGAUCCAUAGAAUUCUGAAGUAUGUUUUCAUUCUUUCAUAGGGCAAAAAGGCAAAUAAUUUCAGAAGCCAGUAUCAAUAAGGAGAGAAUCUAGGGGCAGAGAGUGAUGAUAACUGUGGCUAAAAAAAAGUGUAUAUAUUAGUCUCUCCUCAUGCUGCUAAUGACAUACCCGAAACUGGGUAAUAUAUAAAGGAAAGAGGUUUAAUUGACUCACAGUUCAACGUGGCUGAGUAGGCCUCAGGAAACUUACAAUCAUGGCAGAAGGGAAAGCAAACACGCCCUUCUUCACAUGGCGGCAGCAAGGAGAAAUGCAGAGUGAAGGCAGGGAAAGGCCCCUUAUAAAACCAUCAUAUCUCGUGAGAACUCACUAUCAUGAGAACAGCAUGAGGGUAACUGCCCCUAUGAUUCAGUUACCUCCCACUGGGUCCCUCCUAUAACAUGUGGGAAUUAUGGGAACUACAAUUCAAGAUGACAUUUGGGUGUGGACACAGUCAAACCAUAUUGGUGUAUAUCCAGGCUAAAGUAAUUGUUUAAAAUAACCCUAUGGCCAAACAAAGCAUGCAUGUGGGCCAGAUUUUCUCUACUAUCUAAUGAUAUAGUCUGGUAUCAUAAUUAUUUCCCCUAAGAAGUCUCUUCUUCCUAACAUUCUCACCUUCCUACAUUUAUCUAUAACUAUACUUACAAAACUCUAUAUAGUUUCAUUUACAUUAUAUAUUUGUUUGUAUAUUUUGUAAUUGUUCUGAGCUUAUACAUUUUCUAUAUAUAGAUUAUAAAAUUUUCAAACUGAUAGAUUACUAUCACGUUAGUAUUUACUCAUCUUUUUGUUCCAUAAAGCCAAGUAAAGUUGUGCUCAACAGCUAGGUGUUCAAUUAAAGCUCUUCUUUUGUGGUAGUGGUUGAGAAAAUGCAAAUGACUUAUCUUUUCUUUUAAAUAUUAGUUUACAUAGGGAUGAAAUAUGUAAUCCAGAACAAAUAACAUCCUUCAUUACUCAUCAUAUCCCUGAUGCUAAAUUAAAAACAGAAAACAAAGAAAAGCUUGUAUAUACUUUGCCACUGGAAAGGACAAAUACAUUUCCAGGUAACUCAACUAUGAUUACAAUGAAAUGAAAUUUGGGAAAAAAUGUUCACAUUAUUAUUAAAAUAGUUUUCUUUGUCCAGUGAAUUUAGACUUUUCUUAGUUUUGGCCACCUGAGAAGCAGAACUCAAGAGGAAGGAUUGAGUGCCAUUGAUUUAUUGGGUAGUUGCUUCGUGGAAGCACCAGCAGAUAAUGGGGACAGGAGAGAGGGAAGGGAAGGCAGUCAGGGAAGUCUGAAUUCUGGAGCAGAUUACUGUGGUAGGCAAUUGAGGUGCAAUGCCCACGGGAGGGAAAUAAAUGAAGUAAGUGGGCUCAGCGUUUUGUCACCAGAGGGGUGAGUAAGCUGGGAUUCUUAGCUGCUGUUCCCUAUCCAUUGUGGAUUAAGGGAUGCCUAUGAGAGCAUUAACUUUCUCAUCCUUCUGGCUUACUCUGAACAUGAGCUUAGAAUACUUCCAAAUACAGAAAAAGGACCUCAGGUAGGUGUUUUUAAUAAGCAGAUUUACUGUGUACAGGUGAAUGCAGAAGAGGUGUUGGUGGGGCAUAAAGGUUUCUGCUACAGGUUUCUCCUUGUAAGGUAGACCCCCAUUAUUCACAAGGAAUAGAUAGUUCCAAGAUCUCCAGUUCAUGUCUGAAACCAUGGAUAGAACCAAACCUAAUUGCCAUCAAUUGGAAAACAUUUCUGUUCAUGUCUUCCACCUACACACUGAAUGCCUUUUCCAUCUUAACUAAGCACUUAACACACAUUGUGGCUGUAACUUUUGCAGUUUGAGGUGCAACAGCAAAAGUAGCAUGAAUUUCUUUUGCCUUAUUCACAAUUUCACAGACAGAAGAUUCAUUCUUACAUUAGAUCUUAGCAUCAGCAUAAGAUUUUUUUUUCCUUGUUGAGAACUUUCACCUUUUCACUUACAGAAAGCAUUUUAUGGCUUUUCUUUGGCAUAUCCAAAUUGCCAGCAUCAUUACUCUUGCACUUUGGGAACCUUAUUAGGUAAAAUAGGGGUGCCUUGAACUGCAAUACCAUGACAGUUGCUCUGAUAUCCCAGAGGGCUACUAAGUGACAGGUGGGUAUACCACAGUUCUGCUGGACAGGGGAUGAUUCACGUCCUGAGCCUGAGCAAGAUGGAGUGUGAUGGCGAAGGAUUUCAUCACACUACUUACAAGGGCACACAACUGAAAACUUACGAAUUAUUUUUGAAAUUUUCCAUUUUAUGUUUUUAGACAGCAGUUGAUGGUGGAUAAUUGAAAGUGUGGAAAAUGAAACUGUAGAUAAGGCAGGAUUACUCUAUUUUAAUUGUGCAUGUAUUAUUUUGCAGAGAAAAACCACUUACAUAGUCUACAAAAGUGUUCAACCCUCGGUUCCCUGACAACUGGGUAGCAGCACCAAUUCAGACUUUGUUUGAUAAGCAGUCCUAAAGAUUACUAGCUCUUUGUGUAAUGUUUUCUACGUGUUAGGCACUGUUCUAAUGGUUUCAUAUAUAUUAACUCCUUUAGUUCUCACAACUGUUCUUUCUAUGAGAUGGGUGCUAUAACUUGCCCUAUCUUACAAAUGAGGAAAUAUAUUUCAGUCUCUUGAUUUAAACAGUUUCCCUUUGGUUUAAACAUUUAGUUUGUUAAAGGUAUAACUCCCUAUAGACCUACCUUAAUAAGCUCUUUUGCAUAAUUCGGUUUCAUUAGGCAAAUACUCAGGAAUUCCCAGAUUUUAGCUUCACUCCCCAGUGUGGCAGCUCUCUAUGUCCUUGCAGUAGCAUAGAAGAUGGUGUUCUUCUCAGAUCAGUGGACUAUGCCAUGUUAUUUUGUUCUUGGACUAAGGCCCUGUGAGGUGCAACUGGUCCACUUUCAUUUUUGGUCAGAGAAGGAGAAUAAGGAAUUAUAUGUUGGUACCACCACUGGAAUAUGUUACUUUGCCAGAGUCUCUGGUGUUGACCUCCUGGCCCAUGGCAGCCUCUUUACACAGACCCAAGGCCUCUGCUGUCUAAUGGCAUGCUUAUGUCCAUUUCCUGACAUGGGACUCCCAGGUCCCUUGCUGCCAUGUGCAGGUCAUAGGGAAACACAGUGUUUGCUACAGUCUCAUCCACCUAGUUCCUCUCAAUAAUGUCAUUGGCCCAUCCUCCCACCCAAAGUAGAAAGUAGCAUCUAAGAGUCUUCUAGAAUCCUGCAGUCUCAUCCAAGUAUCUCCAUGGAAGAGUUACCCAAUAAAUGUGUACUGGGAAACUAUUAUAUAAAAGGCACUGCUCCCAGAACUAGAAAUACCGCAGCCUACAUCUAACUAGAUAGGGAAAAGUAGACACACAAAAUAUACAAAAUUUUUCAACAAUUGUACACUAAAAUAAUAAACAAGGCCAGUGAGUUAGAGUGAUGACUGGUGUCUGGCUGAGGUUUAUAUAGAGUGGUCACUGAAGUCCACAAGAAGAAAAUGGUCAAGGGCACUCCAAGUCGAGGGGAAGGGAGGAUGGCUGGAGGGCAAUGAGUGAGGGAGCAGAAUGGCAAAUGGAGGUGGGUAAGGUUGUAUGGAUAGAUGGAGACAGGCUCUUUAGGAGCCUCAGAGGUUGUGUUAUUGACUUUGAUUUUUAUUUUAAAUGCAUUGAGAAACCAUUGAAAGACUUAUACAGAAAGAAGACCCAGAAUAUAGGUAGAGAUAUACAUGGGUUUGUAGUGUGGAGGUGAGAAGAUAAUGGUCUUUCUGAUUGUUCAGACUUCUGCAGAGAAAUCUGCAGGAAGUUCAUAAACUGAGAAUGGAAGACGAAGUGAGACAGUUUGAGGAUGGAGGAAGAGGUCUUCCUUAGUCAUUUCAGAGAAGGAGAGAAUUCUCAUGAAAUUUUGCUUUUCACUACUGUGAUACUCCAAAGACAUAAUUUUCUUAACAAUAUUAUGUAUCAUCUUUUAAAUAAGUAUUAAUUUACUUGGUUUAGUUCUCAAUGUGGUUUUUCAAAAUAUCUAUUCAUAUUUUUUGCCUUAGAUCUUUUCAGUGAUCUGGACAAGUGUUCUGACCAGGGAGUGACAGGUUAUGACAUUUCCAUGUCAACUCUAAAUGAAGUCUUUAUGAAACUGGAAGGACAGUCAACUAUUGAACAAGAUUUCGAACAAGUGGAGAUGAUAAGAGACUCAGAAAGCCUCAAUGAAAUGGAGCUGGCUCACUCUUCCUUCUCUGAAAUGCAGACAGCUGUGAGUGACAUGGGCCUCUGGAGAAUGCAAGUCUUUGCCAUGGCACGGCUCCGUUUCUUAAAGUUAAAACGUCAGACAAAAGUGUUAUUGACCCUAUUAUUGGUAUUUGGAAUCGCAAUGUUCCCUUUGAUUGUCGAAAAUAUAAUGUAUGCUAUGUUAAAUGAAAAGAUCGAUUGGGAAUUUAAAACCGAAUUAUAUUUUCUCUCUCCCGGACAACUUCCUCAGGAACCCCGUACCAGCCUGUUGAUCAUCAAUAACACAGGUGAAAAGAAAAAUAAAAUUUAAAUCCAGAAAUAAGUUAUUUUUAUUGUUGAAUAGCACAGGAUGGGGGGAAAGUAAAUCAUAAGAGAAGAAAAUGGGUAUUUAAACUUCAUUUAGAGAAAACACCUUAUGAGGAACAGUGCAUAUUUACUCUGAUUUUGGAGAUGACAGGGAUGAUGAGGACAAGAGAAAAAGAACCUGGGUCACUGUAUAACCUGGGAGAGUAAAGACGUCUAUCUACCAGACUACCCUAAGCUAUUACAUGAUAAAUAAACUUCUAUAUUGGUGCACCCAUUCUAUUUUGAGAUCCUUUUGUUACACAGCAGCCUAACCUAUACCACAAAGACCAUACACACUAGUUACCAUGUGAAGAUGGCCUAUCUAUUCCCCAUGCCCCUUCAUUAAGUACAAGAUACAGGAAGACGCCUUAUUUUGUUAUCCCAAACAAUGGGUAGUUGAUUUUGUUUUUCUUUUGUUUUGAGACAGAGUCUUGCUCUGUCGCCCAGACUGGAGGGCAGUGGUGCGAUCUGGGUUCAAUGCAACCUCCACCUCCCACGUUCAAGUGAUUCUCCUGCCUCAGCCUCCCAAGUAGCUGGGAUUACAGGCGCAUGCCAUCACGUCUGACUAAUUUGUGUGUGUGUUUGUAUAUUUUUAGUAGAGAUGGGGUUUUGCCAUGUUGGCCAGGCUGGUCUUGAACUCCUGGCCUCAAGUGAUCUGCCCUCCGGGGCCUUCCAAAGUGCUGGGAUUAUAGGUGUGAGCCACUGCCCCCAGCCGGUAAUUGUUUUUUUUUUUUUUUUUCCUAACCGCUUAAUUAACUUUGAAGAAGGAACUUUUAUGUUAGUACCUCAGAUGUUAAACAAACAAACAAAAAAGCCAAUGACAAUAAGAGUCUUCCUUUGCCGAGUUCCUCACUCAUUUGAUUUUCCCAUGGAUUUGCAAUUCAGGCCUACGGUGUAUGCUCUUUAAACAAAGAUGGUCUUUUCCUUUCGGUUUCUCAUUCUUCUUCUUGUUUUCCAUUUGAGUUUUGGAAAGUAAAUUUUAUUCCCCUCACUACCUUAAGUGCUAAUUGUAUGUUUAAUUUCUGAGAUCUAGAAAGGUUUCUUUACCUAUGAGCUCAUAAGAUGAGUAAAUCAGGUCUCUCUUUUCCUCUUUGGUCACUCUUGAGGGCAGUGGGCUUGUGUUAAUUUAUUUAUUUUUUUGUCUCUGUACUUACAUAUUUUAUGGUUUGAGUUUGAAGCUUCUGUGCCAUUUUGUUCCUCUUUUCUCAAAAUCUGCCAGUUAUUGGUAACACGUUUAUCUUUUAAAGUGAGCAUCCCUAUCUGCCUAGGUGAAUGUGGGUCGACAUAUGGCAUUGCACCUCAAGUGACUGUGGAGGUGGAGUGGGGUGUGUGGCUGCUCAAGGUGCAUGGAAAGCUUAUUUUCUAUGUGCGUGUUCCUGUAUCACUUGGUGGGGGGAUCCUAAUUCAUCUAAGGUUUGGCCUUAUUUUUCCAAUCCCAGAGCCCACUAUAAACUCCCAUUUCAAAGGCAAAAAAAAAAAAAAAAAA